rnacentral:tRNA from 1 species
UUAAACCCUAAAUAUGGCUUAAAAUCUCAUAUUA